rnacentral:rRNA from 1 species
UACGGGGGGGGUAAGCGUUAUUCGGAAUUACUGGGCUUAAAGAGUUCGUAGGCGGCGCAGAAAGUAGGGUGUGAAAGCCCUCGGCUCAACCGAGGAAUUGCGCUCUAAACUACUGUGCUUGAGGAAGCUAGAGGUGAGCGGAACUGAUGGUGGAGCGGUGAAAUGCGUUGAUAUCAUCAGGAACACCGGAGGCGAAGGCGGCUCACUGGGGCUUUUCUGACGCUGAGGAACGAAAGCCAGGGGAGCGAACGGG